rnacentral:rRNA from 1 species
CCUACGGGUGGCAGCAGUGAGGAAUAUUGGUCAAUGGCCGGAAGGCUGAACCAGCCAAGCCGCGUGAAGGACGAAGGUGCCAAGCAUUGUAAACUUCUUUUGUCAAGGGACAAAAUCAGGCUCGAGAGCCUGACCGAGGGUACUUGAAGAAACAGCAUCGGCUAACUCCGUGCCAGCAGCCGCGGUAAUACGGAGGAUGCGGGCGUUAUCCGGAUUUAUUGGGUUUAUGGGGUGCGUAGGCGGGCUGUUAAGUCAGCGGUAAAAGCCCGGGGCUCAACCCCGGCGAGCCGUUGAAACUGGCUGUCUUGAGAUGUCGAGAGGUAUGCGGAAUGCGCAGUGUAGCGGUGAAAUGCGUAGAUAUUAGGAGGAACACCAGUGGCGAAGGCGGCCUACUGGACGGUGACUGACGCUGAGGCUCGAAAGCGUGGGGAGCAAACAGGAUUAGAUACCCCUGUAGUC